AUGCAAGUCGAACGAGAAUCACUGGAAGGAGUUUUCGGACAACGGAAGGUGAGGACAGUGGCGGACGGGUGAGUAACGCGUGAGGAACCUGCCUUUCAGAGGGGGACAACAGUUGGAAACGACUGCUAAUACCGCAUGACACAUAGAGAUCGCAUGGUUUUUAUGUCAAAGAUUUAUCGCUGAAAGAUGGCCUCGCGUCUGAUUAGCUAGUUGGUGAGGUAACGGCCCACCAAGGCGACGAUCAGUAGCCGGACUGAGAGGUUGACCGGCCACAUUGGGACUGAGAUACGGCCCAGACUCCUACGGGAGGCAGCAGUGGGGAAUAUUGGGAAUGGGCGCAGCCUGACCCGCAACGCCGCGUGAAGGAAGAAGGCUUUCGGGUUGUAA
rnacentral:rRNA from 1 species